CAGCAGAGACACAUAAAAUGACAGCCAGGAAAGUGCCGGUCGGGGCAUAUCUGACCCUCUUCCUGCUGUUUGAUUGUUGCAGAAGCCAGAAGGAGGGGUUGACAACUGGUGAAGGACCUGCAAACAAGGACUCGGAGCAGUUGGAUGAAUUUCUGACAGGAAUAAUGGAGAACCAACCACCAACAACCUUUAGAGAACAUAUCAGACGAUGACCAUCUAGACAGUUCAGGCGAGGGAUCACGCACACCUGAAGUGGAAUUCAAAUGGACAGAACGGCAGAGUUAGAAGACAGUUUACCCU
ensembl:lncRNA